rnacentral:sRNA from 1 species
UUCAGGCCGAAGCUCUUGACCGGAGCGCGGGGGAACCCAUUUUAGGGGUGAAGACGCUGGACUCGUAUCGACGAAAGCGUCCGGGAAGCUCUCUCUUAUUCCCGAAUCCGUCAGCUAACCUCGCAGGCCGCCAAAGGAG